rnacentral:rRNA from 1 species
GCCAGCAGCCGCGGUAAUACGGACGGUGCAAGCGUUAUCCGGAUUUAUUGGGUUUAAAGGGUCCGUAGGCGGAUGCGUAAGUCAGUGGUGAAAUCUCACGGCUCAACUGUGAAACUGCCAUUGAUACUGCGUGUCUUGAGUGAGGUUGAAGUAGCUGGAAUAAGUAGUGUAGCGGUGAAAUGCAUAGAUAUUACUUAGAACACCAAUUGCGAAGGCAGGUUACUAAGUCUCAACUGACGCUGAUGGACGAAAGCGUGGGGAGCGAACAGGAUUAGAUACCCUGGUAGUCCACGCUGUAAACGAUGCUAACUCGUUUUUGGGGAUUUAUCUUCAGAGACUAAGCGAAAGUGAUAAGUUAGCCACCUGGGGAGUACGAACGCAAGUUUGAAACUCAAAGGAAUUGACGGGGGCCCGCACAAGCGGUGGAUUAUGUGGUUUAAUUCGAUGAUACGCGAGGAACCUUACCAAGGCUUAAAUGGGAAUUGAUCGGUUUAGAAAUAGACCUUCCUUCGGGCAAUUUUCAAGGUGCUGCAUGGUUGUCGUCAGCUCGUGCCGUGAGGUGUUAGGUUAAAGUCCUGCAUCGAAGCGCAACCCCCU